rnacentral:rRNA from 1 species
UACGAAGGGGGCUAGCGUUGUUCGGAAUCACUGGGCGUAAAGCGCACGUAGGCGGAUUGUUAAGUCGGGGGUGAAAUCCUGAGGCUCAACCUCAGAACUGCCUCCGAUACUGGCAAUCUCGAGUUCGGAAGAGGUUGGUGGAACAGCUAGUGUAGAGGUGAAAUUCGUAGAUAUUCGCAAGAACACCAGUGGCGAAGGCGGCUCACUGGCCCGAUACUGACGCUGAGGCACGAAAGCGUGGGGAGCAAACAGG